UGCGCCAAAGUCGUAAAGAAAAAGCUUGGCACCCAGUUUGAUCCUGAAGGACAACUUCUUGUUGCGCCAUGGGUAGCCCGAAAACCAAAAGAUUUGGUGAUGAUGAAUCCUUCUCCUCCUCGACGCAUAGUGGGUCUUCGCAGGGUCCGACAGUGACGACGGCUUCUUCAUCUUCUUCACCUCGGCACGCUGUGGACGACGACUUGGGUUCAAGGCUCACACUUGGCUCAGAGGCUAUGUUUGCUGAUCUUGGACACUUCUCAUAUGCGGCCAUUCAGAUUGCUUUCACCUUUCUGGUUUAUCCAGCACUUAUUUUGGCAUACAUGGGCGAAGCUGCUUAUUUAUCACAUCAUCACCACUCCAAACAUAGUAUCAUUUUUUACGUCUCAGUUCCUGAAUGCGUAAGGUGGCCAGUUCUUGUUGUAGCUAUUCUUGCUUCAGUUGUUGGAAGCCAAGCAAUCAUCAGUGGAACAUUUUCUAUCAUAAACCAAAGCUAGUCGAUUGGUUGCUUCCCAAGAGUCAAGGUUGUUCACACUUCUGACAAGAUUCAUGGUCAGAUAUAUAUUCCAGAGAUCAAUUGGAUUCUCAUGAUCCUUUGCAUUUCUGUAAAAAUUGGAUUUAGAGACACUAAACACAUGGGAAAUGCAUCAGGGGAGUUACAAAAUAGAGUUGCUGAACUAGAAGAGAGAAAUUGUAAACUAGCGAUUCUCAAAGCUCAGAGAGACGCCACAAAAGUGGCAGGCUUUCUUGUCUUAAAUUUAGGGAGCAAGCAUGUUAGUAGUGACAAAGUCAGAGAUAAAGUAAAAGAUAUACAAGACAUGGAGACUGCUCUUAAAGAAUUAAUGGAUCAAGCUUCUUGCCGGCUUAAAGAAAUAAAAGAUCUUCAUGAAGAGAGAGCACAUAUAUUGCAGCAGUUAUCUAAUUUGCAGAGCAAAUUGAACAAUGUAGCAUGUAUUUCCUCUUCCCAAGCCUAACUCUUACUGAGAGAUCAAAUUGAAAAAUCAAAAUCUGAAGUUAUUGAGUAUCAGGCUUCGUAUGAGAAACUUCAGGCUGAGAAGGAUAUUCUUGUCUUAAAGGAAAGGGAACUCAGUGUUAAAAGUGAUGUCAUUGAUUUCCUUCGAAGAUCUGCUGCAAUUGAGAAUUCAAAGAUUUCAGAUCUUAGGAUAGAAAUACAGAAGCAGAACGAUGAAAGAAAGGUGAUUGAAACAAAGGUGGAAGAUGCUUCAAGAGAACCUGAUUAGAAGAAACCUGAAGCUUUAUUGCAAGCCAAUGGCUCUAUUUAUUCUUUAAUUCUGAUGGAAGAAUUAUUAUUUCAGGAAGAAAAGAAAUCAUUGCAGAAUUUAAAGCCUUGGUGUCUUCCUUUCCUGUGGAAAUGGAAAACAUGCAAGACCAAUUGCAAAAACAUAAUGAAACUGCUUCAGAUGUUCAUUCUUUGAGGGCUGAUGUGCAAUCUCUUUCUAGCAUUAUUGACAGGAAGGUGAAAGAGUGUGAAACUCUAUUCGCUAGAUUCAUUGGUCAGGCUGCUGAGAUACAGAAAUGGCAAACUGUGCGCCUCAUUACACUGAAACUUUGCUUGAUGGGACUAAGUUCAAUUCCAGCCAUUAUAGAGGAUUCCUUUCAAGUUUAAGCUUGGUCAAGAGUGAUAGUAGAAAUACUAUCUAAAUAUAUGGUCAUGCUCUUUAUUUAAUCCCAGCUGAAGAAAGAACAACUUUGUGAGCAAGGAUAUAUAAUGGAAUUUGGAUUGGAAAGUCUGCAAGGAUCAUGAUGAGGCGACCUUUGGUCUUGCAGCUUGACAAGACAAAUGAGGGAGCUCAGAAAUACGUUGAGUUUCUUCACCUUUGGCCUCCGAAGCUCUCGAACCCAAAGACGCAGCUACCAGUUCUGUUGGGAACAACUUCACAAUUGAAAGCUCAAACACGCGUGUGUCUCCAAGAAAACUCCUGCAUCGAGAGCUCCAUCGCACCCAGAAAAAAAAUUGGCCCCAACCCCACUUUGUGAGGUCCUGGAAGGAAAAUGAUGAAAAAGUGGCAUUUGUGAAGAAGAAAUAGCAAAUUUUGGCACAAAGUUAUCUCAUUUCAGCAAUACUCAAAGGCCCAAUAGCUGCCCCAGCCCACAGAAGCCCAUGAAGCCUUCUCUAGCUUGCAACCUCACGCCUGGCACUUGAAAUUCUUUCAGCAUAUGCUCCCAACCUCCUGACUUCACUCCAUUAGCAUUUAUGCCCACACCUCCUGUCCGUGCCAAGCACCAGCCGAA